rnacentral:tRNA from 1 species
GUGUGCGUAAUUUAAAUAAAAUAUCAAGCCGUGACCUUGAACACAGAGACACACCUCUCGCACACC